rnacentral:misc_RNA from 1 species
AUACUCUCAACCUUCUUGGUUUCUUUGACCAGGAAGGCUUGGACUUUGGAGGUUUUUCUUGCUGGCCUUCUUUUGAAGCCAGCUCCUCCUAAAUGAAUCGGUGGGGUCCGCUUUGCUGAUCCUUGACGUGAUAAGCAUUUCUUCUACGUCAAGUCAGCUCGGAACCUGCUUUCUAACCUUUGAGUUACAGCGUAACUCGACCCUCAUAAA